UUCUCAGAAUGUUGCAUUCUGGAUCGUUACGUUGCCAUGGAUGUGCAGAGUAAAUAAACUUAACUAAGUAUGUAACUGUGUUAGUAGCCCUGUUGAAGUAGUAUCUAAAAGCUGCUGCUUUUAGAUUCUACUAUGCUGCUUUUAGAUACUAUUUCAAUAGGGCUAAUACUUACGUCUCUAACCAAAAUGAGGUGAAAUAGGAGCUUGAUUACAUUUAUAAUGUAGGCUGAUUAUACAGAUAUAGCAGGCAUUUCUUAAAGGCGAUUUAUAAUAAAAUAUGACACCCUUCAGUGAAUAAAAACACUAACAAUGAAACUAGAGGACUGGACUAUGAGCUUGUCCCAUAUGCGAUGGGCCGUUAUAAUUUCACAAAGAAGCUGGCCAGGAAAAGUAAGAAAAAAUUGCCCUUUAAAAGAUACCCAACUCUUUACAGCUAGCUUAGAAACGAAAAAGAUAGAAUCAAGAGUAAACAGCAUUCAGGAGUAUACAAAACACUGGUGUCGAAUAAUGAAGCGUCUAGAAGAGAAACUUAUAUAAGGGUGACAAAUAGGAUGCCAGAACAAAAGUUGAAAGAGCAUAAAAAAGAUCUUGCCAACAGCAAUUUGCGUACAGCUUUUGGCAACGUCUAUGUAUGAGAAAGAUGUACAGGUUAAUUGGCAUGAAGCGGAAGUAGUAAGGCCCUUGAGAAAAGAGAAGCAUGCGUUCCUAGCUGAAACAAUGGAGAUUUACACCAUUCGGAUGAAAGAAAACUUCUUGAAUAGUCACCUGGCACAAGAGUUGCCAGUGCCUUGGAGGUACCUCCUAAAUGUGACAGCCUCUUAAUGCCCCCUUUAUUUUGAUGUGGGGGUUGUACAACCAGAGCUGUAUUUCAUGAGUUUUAAAUAUUAGAACUUUAGGUUUGAUUUUAAUGUUUUAGUUUUUAAUUUUAUGAUUGUGUUCUCUAGGACCAGUAAUGAUGGUUUGUGUGUAGUUUUAUUUAUUUAAUUUUAGCUUACAUUAUCGUAGUUGUUAUUUUAUUUUGUUUUUUUGUACUUAGUUAAGUUUAUUUGCUUUGUGUAUCUAUGGCAACUUAACGAUUUAGAAUGUAAUAUUCUGAGAAUGGCUUAAAAAACUGUAAGUUAUUCUGUGUAGACUUGCUGUGUAGCCUGAAGAUGGUGCGUAGGGCACCGAAAACGUUCACAAUAAAAGGGGGUGAGUUUGCAAUAUAUGUCUGCUUAGUAGUGCUUUUGACUGUCUAGUUAAC
rnacentral:lncRNA from 1 species